rnacentral:rRNA from 1 species
AUGAACGCUGGCGGCGUGCCUAAUACAUGCAAGUCUAGCGAACGGACGAGAAGCUUGCUUCUCUGAUGUUAGCGGCGGACGGGUGAGUAACACGUGGAUAACCUACCUAUAAGACUGGGAUAACUUCGGGAAACCGGAGCUAAUACCGGAUAAUAUUUUGAACCGCAUGGUUCAAAAGUGAAAGACGGUCUUGCUGUCACUUAUAGAUGGAUCCGCGCUGCAUUAGCUAGUUGGUAAGGUAACGGCUUACCAAGGCAACGAUGCAUAGCCGACCUGAGAGGGUGAUCGGCCACACUGGAACUGAGACACGGUCCAGACUCCUACGGGAGGCAGCAGUAGGGAAUCUUCCGCAAUGGGCGAAAGCCUGACGGAGCAACGCCGCGUGAGUGAUGAAGGUCUUCGGAUCGUAAAACUCUGUUAUUAGGGAAGAACAUAUGUGUAAGUAACUGUGCACAUCUUGACGGUACCUAAUCAGAAAGCCACGGCUAACUACGU